rnacentral:lncRNA from 1 species
GGUGGGGGUGGGGGUUCAACUAGCCAGUAGUGCUUACUUCUGGCCAUUAAAUCCAUCCCAACCCAGAGAAGAUCUGGAAGGCUCGUAAAAUUAUAUUUGUCUUGCUGCUAAAAAGUCUGCCAAUAGGGAAUCUUCUUCCAGCUGUCGGAAAGGGAUCCAGGUUCUAUUUUGACAACUGCAAUAAGUGGCAACAGCAGAAAAUUCCAUGGCUGGCCAGAGUUCCUCAUUAUAUUGCUAUUUUAAGAUAGAUCUAAAGCAACAUUGUAUAUUUCUUGAAAUAUUACUAUUAUUAUUAUUAUUUUGGUACUGAGGAUUAAACCCAGGGAUGCUUAAAAUAUUGAACCAUAUCCUCAGCUCUUUUUUUACUUCAAGACAGGGUCUUACUAAGUUGCUCAGAGCCUCACUAAGUUGGUGAGGCUGGCUUUGAACUUGCUAUCCUCCUGCCUCAGCCUCCCAAAUCACUGGGAUUACAGGCCUGCACCGCUAUUCCUGGCAAAUUCUUAAGAGCAAAGUAGAUAGAAAGAUGCCACUAACAAAUGGAAGAACACUGAAUAAUCAAGAUUCUUCUCUUGAUAAAGGAAACAAAUUCAAGAUGGAAGGUCAAGAAUCAAAAUGAAACUGUC